AGCCUUUUGUGUUGCCUAUUCACUUUUUCAAAACUAGUGGGCGUGGUGUUAAAAGGAUCUAAAUAAAUGUUUUUGCAGCCAUUAUCUACUCUUAAUUUUUGUUACUAUACUGUAAUACCUACAUAAUUAAUAGCU
ensembl:snoRNA